GCUGGUGUAGCUCAGUUGGUAGAGCAGCUGUCUUGUAAACAGCAGGUCGGUGGUUCAAGUCCUCUCAUCAGCUCCA
rnacentral:tRNA from 1 species